rnacentral:rRNA from 1 species
CCUACGGGAGGCAGCAGUGAGGAAUAUUGGUCAAUGGCCGGAAGGCUGAACCAGCCAAGCCGCGUGAAGGACGAAGGUGCCAAGCAUUGUAAACUUCUUUUGCCAAGGGACAAAAUCAGGCUCGAGAGCCUGACCGAGGGUACUUGAAGAAAAAGCAUCGGCUAAUUCCGUGCCAGCAGCCGCGGUAAUACGGAGGAUGCGAGCGUUAUCCGGAUUUAUUGGGGUUAAAGGGUGCGUAGGCGGGCUGUUAAGUCAGCGGUAAAAGCCCGGGGCUCAACCCCGGCGAGCCGUUGAAACUGGGUGUCUUGAGAUGUCGAGAGGUAUGCGGAAUGCGUGGUGUAGCGGUGAAAUGCUUAGAUAUUACGAAGAACUCCGAUUGCGAAGGCAGCCUGCCGGCGGGCAACUGACGCUGAGGCACGAAAGCGUGGGUAUCGAACAGGAUUAGAUACCCGAGUAGUC